rnacentral:misc_RNA from 1 species
AAAGUCGUAACAAGGUUUCCGUAGGUGAACCUGCGGAAGGAUCAUUAUUGAAUAAAUCUGGCAUGGGUUGUAGCUGGCUCUCGGGAGCAUGUGCACGCCUUGUCACCUUUAUCUUUCCACCUGUGCACACACUGUAGUCCUGGAUACCUCUCGCUGCAAGGCGGAUGCGGAGCCUGCUGCUGCUUGUAAAGGCUCAGCUUGCUCUGAAUUUCCAGGUCUAUGAUUUUUCAUACACCCCAAACGCAUGUUAUAGAAUGUCAUAUCAUUGGGCCUUGUGCCUAUAAACCUUAUACAACUUUCAACAACGGAUCUCUUGGCUCUC